rnacentral:misc_RNA from 1 species
GGACACACCGCUUUAUUGCCUAUGCGACUGUGUCCUGUUUUUACAGGCUUUCUCUCUCUACUGGAUCUCACCUCUUUCACUAAGCGCACUCUUCACAGAUGCUCUGUGUGGUCUCUCUCUCUAUAGAGCUUGUUGUCUCUCUAGAAUUGACUCUGUUGUUUAGUGGGUUCUUGGACAAUCGUUUUCUAAAAGGAACUCUUCUCGUGAAGUGCAUGUGAAGUUGGUGGCUGAGACUGGGACGAGAGGGAGAGGGAGGGAGAUCUAAUCUGGUGGCCUUAAUAAUCCAACGGGUCGUUUUUGCUUUUUGGGAAUUUUCAGGUGAAUACAGAGUUUCCUUGUUACUUUCUUUUUGCUGCUGCUGCUACCGCUGUUUCUUCUUCUUCUUCUAGACCUUUUGGCCUCCUUUUCCUGAUGUAGCACCGCGCUCUUUUAUUCUAAACCAUGUUUAUUCUCUGCCCAUUUUGUCAAAAAGUUUCGCCCUUUUGUUCUUUAAGAUAAAAAGGUUGAGCUUUUGCUUGUUGGGUCUGCUAUAGUUGCUAUGUUACAUUUUUUGCAUAUUGAAGUAAAGGGUUUUCUGCUUUUAAUCUUUGUGCACUGAAGCUUGGAGGUUUAGUAUGAGGACUUAAUAUGGAGUGAUAGUGCAGUUUCGGCCUUUGAUAAAAGCUUGAGAUUUUGAAUUUAGUUUCAUGGGUUUGGGGUAGUGCUGUGUUUAUGCUGAUGGGUCUCUGCCCUUCAGAGUAAAUGAUGAUUAUUGUGAAGAGUUGUUUGUAGUUGGGGGAAUUUGGGGAUUUGUGGUGUAAUAAUUGCAAAAAGGUUUUUCACCCUUGCAAAUAAAUUCUUUGUAUUCGGUGGAGGAUCUCUGAUCGCUUGAAUUUUGGCAUUUUUAGUGUUUAGUUGCCUAAUUUUGAAGAUUUGGAGCGGUUGCAGAUUGAAGGAAAAUGCAAUAUAAUUUGAUUGAUUUUGUUACUCUGCAAGAGGUACUGCUAUCAUAUGCAUUUACCUUCUGAUCAUGACCCAGGCUGUCCGUAAUAGGAUUCUUAAGGAUGCAAAUGGUCAUAUCGGUGAUCAUCUUCUCAACCAUAUCCAUUUAACCAAUUGCAUUCAUCUGAAAAAUCAUAUGCAUAAGCAGAGUCCCAUACUGGCUGAUAGGUCGCUAAUGAGAGACCUCAUUGUUCUUCAGAGGUCCAGAUCAUUGAGGGACCCUUCUGCCAGUCCUCCUUCAUGGCACUCACCUUCUAUUGUUGAUUUGCUUCCGAAUAAAGGUGACAAGGAUGCCACAAUUAUGGGCGGUAGAAGGUCAGUUGGUGUUGAACGUCGAAGGGAAGGUAGGAGGUUGUCAGGUAGCUCGCCACACUUUGCAAGUGUAGCACCAUCAAAGGUUUUUCCUGGUGAGCUUAGUGGGGGAAAUGAUGCGAUAGCAGCUAUUAGUGACUACAGUAGCAAGAGUGGAGCUAGGGAUGGUAGGAGAGUUAAGAGAGAAGAAUCUAGUCGGAAGAGCAAUAGGGUUGAUCUUUUGGGUGGUGAUGAAUACCCUUUACGAGAUCAAUAUGCUAAUGGUUUGGUUAAGGAUACUAUUUCAGGGAAUUCAGAAUCUAAGUCUAGAAAGAGUAAACAAAAGGGAAGGCAUAGUCAAGAUGUUCAUAUUAAGACACUUUCUGAGCAGCUCAAUAAGGUUCCACUGGAUAUUGAUGUAGCUUCUUCUAACAUCCAUCUUAGACGGUCUCGACAGGAGAAAACUGGUGAGGAGCCUGAGACCAGCAUUCGCGGGUAUAGUGGCCUGAAUAGGGUUAAAAGGCGGAAGUUCCGAGGUACCAGAAGAACUAGGGCAACUCCAUCUGCUAGAGAUGUUGGGGGUCAGAAUGAAAUGUCUGUUGCUUCUAAUUCAUUGGCUGAAGGUUCAGCAAGACCAAGGUAUCACAUGGAGGAAGAAGAAGAAGAAGAAUAUAGGGAUCAAAACAUCACAAGAGUUCCUAGAAAUGGAUGUGGGAUUCCAUGGAAUUGGUCAAGGAUUCAUCAUAGGGGUAAAACAUUCCUUGACAGGGCUGGUAGAAGUUUUUCUUGUGGUCUGUCAGACUCAAGGUUAAGGAAAGGCGGCAUGGCUUCCCAUGAGAAAGAUGUUCCUAAUAUGCCUGUGGUAUCUGAUCAUUCAAGUUCAUCUACUAAAUCUGAUGCAGAGGUUCUGCCUCUAUUAGUUGAGGCUUCCGUAUCCCUAGAAAGCACUGAUAAUGCUGGUUGGGUGCAUGACUAUUCUGGAGAGCUGGGUAUAUAUGCUGAUCAUUUGCUGAAGAAUGAUGUUGAUUCUGACCUUGCUUCUGAAGCUAGAUCUGGUGGUCAACACAAGCUUGGGCGGAAACACAAUAGCAGGCAUCAAAAUUUGACUCAAAAAUACAUGCCAAGAACUUUCAGAGAUCUGGUGGGACAGAAUCUGGUAGCACAAGCUCUUUCCAAUGCUGUCAUGAGAAGGAAGGUUGGGUUGCUAUAUGUGUUUUAUGGGCCUCAUGGUACUGGAAAGACCUCAUGCGCUCGCAUAUUUGCCAGGGCUUUAAAUUGUCAAUCUUUGGAUGAUCCCAAACCUUGUGGCUAUUGCAAUUCUUGCAUGGCACAUGAUAUGGGUAAGAGUCAAAAUAUAAGGGAAGUUGGUUCAGUCAGUAAUUUUGAUUUUGAGAGCAUUAUGGAUCUGCUUGACAACAUGAUUAUUUCUCAUCUGCCAUCGCAGUUCAGAGUUUUUAUUUUUGAUGACUGUGAUACUCUGUCCCCUGACUGCUGGAGUGCCAUUUCAAAGGUCAUUGAUCGAGCACCCAGACGUGUAGUUUUUGUCCUUGUCAGCUCAAGUCUUAAUGUUUUGCCUCAUAUAAUUAUAUCCAGGUGCCAGAAAUUCUUUUUCCCAAAGCUGAAAGAUGCAGAUAUUACAGACACUUUGCAGUGGAUUGCAUCCAAAGAAGAUAUAGAUAUUGAUAAGGAUGCACUAAAACUUAUUGCAUCACGAUCAGAUGGAUCACUGAGGGAUGCUGAGAUGACUCUAGAACAACUGAGUUUGCUUGGUCUGAAGAUAUCUGUUCCCUUAGUUCAAGAACUGGUUGGGCUUAUCUCUGAUGAAAAAUUGGUGGAUCUUCUUGAUUUAGCAUUAUCUGCAGACACGGUGAACACUGUGAAGAAUUUGAGAGUGAUAAUGGAAACUGGUGUGGAUCCAUUGGCAUUAAUGUCACAGCUUGCUACAGUUAUCACUGAUAUAGUAGCUGGUAGUUAUGACUUCACAAAAGAAAGGCAUAGAAGGAAGUUUUUUCGACGACAACCAUUGUCCAAAGAAGAUAUGGAAAUAUUGCGUCAAGCUCUGAAAACUUUGUCAGAGGCUGAAAAACAACUUAGAAUGUCUAAUGACAAAUUAAUGUGGCUAACAGCUGCAUUGCUUCAACUUGCUCCUGAUCAACAGUACAUGCUGCCUAGUUCUUCUCCAGAAACUAGUUUUAAUCAUAGCCCUAUCACCCUAAAUAACGCAAAUGGAAGAGAAGUAGCCAAGAAAGGUGGUGAACAAGCUGAGAUUCCCAAUAAUGAGAGAAGCUUGUCAACACGUGUUAGAUUGGAAACUGCUAGAACUUCUGGUGAUUUCCAUAUCAAUGGUGCAUCAAGAGGUAUUAAUGUUGAUAGGAAAAGAAGUGGCGGGACUGGGAUGGCUCCUCAGUGCACAUCUGCACUGUCUUCUGAUGCAGUUAGGGUGAGUGGCAGGCAGAUGUCAGCCAAAAGCUGUAGAGGAUAUGAAGAAAUUUGGUUGGAGGUGCUUGGGAAGAUUCAGUUUAAUAGUAUAAGAGAGUUUUUGUACCAAGAAGGAAAGCUUAUCUCUGUCAGUUUUGGUGCAGCUCCAACUGUGCAGUUGAUAUUCAGUUCACAUGUCACCAAAUCGAGGGCAGAGAAGUUUAGGGCACAUAUUUUACAAGCAUUUGAGUCUGUUCUUGGGUCGCCAGUUACCAUUGAAAUCAGAUGUGAAUCAAAUAAAGACACAAGUGGAGGGUUCCAUGCACCUCUCAUUUUACCAGCUUCAAGGAAGGCUUCAUCUUGGAUGGCUGUAGAGCCAGAGACUACUACUGGAAGCAGAAUGCCUAGGAGGGGAGAAACUCUUUAUGUAGGGAGGAGUGAAAUUGUUGAAAUACCAGCUUCUCCCAGGGAAAUCAAGGGUAAUGGACAUGUUGACAACAAUGCAGAAUCUAGUAAAAGAGGUUUACAGCAUGCAAGAGUGGGAGAUUCAGCAGUUUCACAUAAGAAAUAUAGCAUCAGUCCUAUGUCAGAAAGAAGGAAACUUGGCGAGCAAAGUCAGAGUAAGAGCCUUGUGCGAAGCAAGGUUUCCCUUGCACAUGUAAUUCAGCAGGCAGAAGGAUGUACACAGCAAACUGGAUGGUCCAAACGUAAGGCGGUUUCUAUAGCUGAAAAGCUUGAACAAGAAAAUUUGUACGUAUUUUCUGUGCCAUAACUUUUUAACCCCAGUUUGUCAAGUCAUCUCUUGAAAUUUGAAGUUCAAUAAAUUAGAUAAGCUAAAAAAGGUAACCAGAGCAAAUAGUAUUGUACAGGAAUUAGCCACAAUAUUUAAUUAAGAAAUUAUCAGUUUGCGGUAAUUUAAUUAUAUAAUGAAAGAUUACAUAAGCAUGAAAGCUCCUUUUGUAUAUUCUGGUAAUACAUUUUGUGCUCCUGAAUAUCUCCAUAAUCUUUGAUUGGCUCUUAUGUACUGUAAUUUUACAGGAGGCUGGAACCUAGAUCACGAAGUUUGCUAUGCUGGAAAGCAUCUAGAGUUACCCGUCGAAAGCUUUCUCGUUUGAAGAUUAGGACGCGAAGACCAAAUUCACUGCUGAAGCUUGUUUCUUGUGGAAAAUGCCUCUCUUCAAAAUCUCCAAGGUAGAAGAAGAAAAAUUUUUCAAUGACUUUUAAGGAUUCAGAGCGCAACUUCAUUGUUACUUCUGUAAUUAGACAUUUUAUUGGCAUUUACUGGGUCAGAAUUGCCGUUCAUAUGUUUUUCCUUUGAAUAAAGCGUAGUAGUGCUUACCAAUGAGAAUUUAAGAAAGAAUUGGAUAGUGUAGCUUCUCUUAAUCAAUUUUCGUAUGUUUAUACACUCAUUCCUGUUAGACAGUUCAGUUUUUGUUUUUAACUUAAUUUGAUUUCGAAGGUUUGGAGCCGGUUUCAACACCAUUGAGUUGAAACUCAUGUAAGAUUAACUCUGAUUAUGACUCGAACUGUUAGGCAAAGACAUCAGGUAGACAUUUCUUGCCUAUUUAGUAAGGUGGACGUACAAGCCCUUGGAACUUAGCAAGUGUUAUUGUCAUUAAGGCUUUGAUUCAAAGGUAAAGCAGCGUUUGAUUGAGCCAAGGAAACUGUGAAGUCAACUUAGUGGUUGGUGGAAAAUAUUAUUGUUGAUUGUUUUUUUCCAUCUGUUCUCAUUUGUUUUUAACUAAUCAAUCUAUUGCCUCUUUAAUAAUCAAAUAUUUGUGUUGAAUCUUACACAUUGGAUGUUCAUCAUGACUAGUUGGUGAUUUGUUGGGAAAACUAAAUGCAAUUAAGAAGCUCGAAUACCAUAUAAUAAUACUAAUAUAGAACCCUUUUGCACUCAAA